rnacentral:rRNA from 1 species
GUGGGGAAUAUUGGACAAUGGGCGAAAGCCUGAUCCAGCCAUGCCGCGUGUGUGAAGAAGGUCUUCGGAUUGUAAAGCACUUUAAGUUGGGAGGAAGGGCAGUAAGUUAAUACCUUGCUGUUUUGACGUUACCGACAGAAUAAGCACCGGCUAACUUCGUGCCAGCAGCCGCGGUAAUACGAAGGGUGCAAGCGUUAAUCGGAAUUACUGGGCGUAAAGCGCGCGUAGGUGGUUUUGUAAGUUGGAGGUGAAAGCCCCGGGCUCAACCUGGGAACUGCCUCCAAAACUGCAUGACUAGAGUACGGUAGAGGGUAGUGGAAUUUCCUGUGUAGCGGUGAAAUGCGUAGAUAUAGGAAGGAACACCAGUGGCGAAGGCGACUACCUGGACUGAUACUGACACUGAGGUGCGAAAGCGUGGGGAGCAAACAGGAUUAGAAACCCCUGUAGUCC